CUGCUAAAAAACUAUUUUCAACACUUUGGCCCUCCCCAACCUGUUUUAGUAGCACUUGGCCUCCCUUAUUUCUGGCUCCGCCACUCAGGAUCAAGUAAAAUGUCCACCACAUUGAGGGACAUUUUUUCAGUCAAAGAGGUGAAUAAGGAGCGCUCCAUGGGGGCACUGGAGUUUGUGGACCUGACGACGACGACGAUGACAACUAGCUUAGGUUUAUUUAUUAAUGUUUAGUUUUUGGUAAUACUCUAUAUAAGACUGGAAUUCUCGCGCCCGCCCACGGACAAAAUAUCCGUCUCACAAAAACCGAGUCCGUUUGGGUCGAGUUGGCCUUAUUUUUCCAGUGAAGUGUCACAAUGUGAAUGAUAAGUGGCGCACCAAUUCAAAUGGCUCGUUAUACCUAUUGCACGUUAUAGUAAAUCUAGGAGAGCAAGUAAAAUAACAAGCAAAAUAUGGUGGCACCAGAUCAUGGAAAAAAAUGAUUCAUGGCACCCACGAGCAUCAAAAUUUAGGAAUCACAACUAACUAUUCCACAGAAAAGGGUUACACCGCGAGACUGGAAAUAAGCACAAAAAAACAGGGGAGACAGCGAGCAUCAUCAAAACUAAAUGGAGCGAUCAUACGAAUACUAGAUCAAACCGGAUAAAUAGUAUCUACAAGCACACGGGUACAAUCUCUACUAAUAAGGAGAUACUAAUCACCAUCACCGAGUGACACACAGUAGCAGAUCUGGGCAAAAUGACACGAACGAACAAAUCACUAGUGAUAAAUAAAUGGAUCUAUAUGUGGUUGUACUAGGUAGGUCGACGGGGAAGACGGAGGCAGUCUCUUCAGUGGCGAACGGCGGCGAAGAGGAAGGCGGCACCGGAGGCGACGAGCGCAGCGGCGAGGGACGGCAUCGCGACGCCGGCGGCGGACACGGGGCUGGGCGCCGGGGCCUCCUGGGCGGAGACGACGGAGAAGGCGGCGACCGACAGGAUGGCGACGAGGGCCAGGGCCUUGGAUGCGACGGUGGAGGCGGCCAUCGCUUCGGUUGGUGGCAGCGACGAGCGACGUACGAGGAGGUGUGAUCUGUGGCGGCGGCGAGGGAUGGAGUAAGAGAGGAGAUCUUUGCUGGAGGUGGGGAAAGGCGCAGGGGUGGAGCGCUAUUUAUUGGGUGGAGUCGCCGGUUAGCGGGUCUGGA
rnacentral:rRNA from 1 species